GGCUUGGUGGUCUAGUGGCUAACGCUUCUGAUUCAUAUGCAGAAGGUCCUGGGUUCAAUCCCUGGCCCAUCCC
rfam:Aedes albopictus isolate Foshan contig134432, whole genome shotgun sequence.